rnacentral:rRNA from 1 species
UACGUAGGGGGCAAGCGUUGUCCGGAUUUAUUGGGCGUAAAGAGCGUGUAGGCGGCUAGGUAGGUCCGUUGUGAAAACUCGAGGCUCAACCUCGAGACGCCGGUGGAAACCAUCUAGCUAGAGUCCGGAAGAGGAGAGUGGAAUUCCUGGUGUAGCGGUGAAAUGCGCAGAUAUCAGGAGGAACACCGGUGGCGAAGGCGGGUCUCUGGGCCUUACCUGACGCUGAGGAGCGAAAGCGUGGGGAGCAAACAGG